rnacentral:lncRNA from 1 species
UAUUGCCUCUUGUGAUAAAGAACUUUAUUAUGCAGUCUGUCGCUUUUAUGUCUUCCUCAUCACAGGUUCGUACAAAGCUUAUUUUCCACACAGUAAUAUAUCAUACAUAUUAGAGAGAAAUUUUUAUUGCUUGCACCGAUGACAACUUACUUGAAGGAUCUUAUUCAAUUCAUAGGUAGGUAUGGUGGACUCCCAUGGCAAAACUGGGUUGAAGGUUUAUGGAUGCACAAGUAGUAUCUCUACUUGGUGUGGGAGUUUUGGCUAAUAUGAGGUGGAAGAAAUCGUCACAUGCUAAGGGAUCUCUACUCAUAUAACAUUGUUUGGAACCAAGCAAACACAAUUCAUUAUGUUGUCUUGCUUGUCCAACAUCUACUCCUAAGCAUAUAAUAGUUUGGUGAGUGCUCACAAUUGUAAAAAGUGUCCAAGAUGAUAUAUUUGCAUGUGAACCUCUCUUUCCUUAUUACUUCUUAUUAAUUGCAACAAUGACUGAGGUCUAUGU